CUGGGAAAGGAAGAGGCUGCUCAGCAGCUGCCACAGGUUUUGUAAACUCAGCAAGAUGGAAGUGAAGAAACCCAACUGAACACACACACCAGAAGCAGACCAGUUGAAGCAGCUGAGACAGAAAACUAACCUGUGAAUUACUUGAGCAAUGACUUCCUAGCUCAGCGUUUGCUGCUUCCUGCUGUCAGCUUGGUUGGAAAUACCCUCCACACCCACGCUUCCACAGUACCUGUACCUGGUACUUCUGCUUCUGAGCCUGCUCAGAGCUUGUUAAAGUUGCAGCAGGGUGAAUGAAAACAGUCUGAUAAUGAAGUUGCCGAUAUUUUUGAAAACUCAAAAAAAAUAAAUAAAAAGAAUUUCAGUUGA